UUUAUCAAGAGCGGUGGAGGGAUAGGCCCUACGAAACCCGGCAACCUGAAUAUAGAAAAGAUAUUUAAGGUGCUAACUCCUACAGAGAUCGGAGGAUUUCUGAGAGAUAAA
rnacentral:ncRNA from 1 species